AUGAUGUAUGCUAUAGCAACGAUGUAAGGAUAGUAAAAUCAGUGGUCUUGCAACAAGGGAUGCCCAAAGUUGACUCUAGUUUGUGUUGCAACUAGAUUAGAGGGAGGUGUGCGUGUAAACAUGUAAGUGUAGGGACCAAGUCGUUGGGCCUGAAGUUUGGAAGACCUAAAACGUUUGCAUCAAAGGAGGGAGUCAGUAGCAGAAGUUUUCGUCUCAUAUCAAACAUGUUCAAGCUUUCCUCUCUCAAGCAAAUUUCCGUUUCUUCCUCCUCCGUGCCGGAAAUCGCCUCCGGCGGCGGCGAAGCUCCAAUCACUCUCAAACACACCCCAUUCCACUCGCCUCUCCAAGAUCUUUGAUAAUCCGCCUUUGAUUCUUGCUAAUUUAUAUCCUAACACCUAAACCGAACCGAGAAUAACAUGAACCCUAGAAAUUGAAAACCUAAAUUAAAUUCUCUUGAGGGAGAAUCAAAGUGAGAGUGAUUGUGUGAUAUUCUGAAUUUAUGAUUGAAAAAUGAUUGGACCCCUGAUUGAGCAACGAUUGCAGAAUUUAUAGAGGGAUGAUGAAUGUAACUGAAUCGGGUAGUUCGGGCACCAUUAGGGCAAUGGCUAACUCUGUUAAAUUGGUUCUGUUAAAUUAGUUUGUUAUUGGAUCAGUUAAGUUAGUUGUUAGUAAGGGAACGUUAAUUGUUAUAGUUAGGUUGCUUCCUUGAACUCAGUUAGUUAGUUAGUUAGGAUUCAGUUAAUGUAGAACUGUUAAUUCAGUUAGUGUAGAACUGUUAAUUCAGUUAGGUUCAGUUAUGCUUGAAUCAAUUAGAUGUUAGUUGGAGUUAAUUGUUAACUUGAAAUCAAUUUGUCAUACUAUAAUGUUACUAGUUUAGAGAUAUUAUGAAAUAUAUAUGUUAAUUGAACCUUGUUAUGUGAUAAUGCUAAGUGAAGGACUCUGUUAAUAUUGAAUUGAAUUUUAAAGUCAGUUAAGGAAAAUGCUAACAUGUUAGAGUUAGUUAUGUGAGUUAAUUCUUGUUUGUUGAGUUGUGAUAAUUAUAGGUUAAUUAUAUUUUUCACUGAAGGUGUAUCCCUUAAGAUGCAACAAUUUGUUUGUGGCACUGGUAUUGAGAUUGCACUCUUGAUGGCCGAAGAUACAAAUGAACAAGAUGACUCCUUGAGGAUUGUAACCUAUAUUUUGGACUUGAUUCGUGAAUCCUUGUGGACGAAUAGGAUAAGGAUGCAAACCUGGAAUUGUUGCACUUGUGCAGCACCUGCAAUUGGAAAAGGCAUUGUUAAAGGAAUUUGAAGAGGUGCUGUUGACAUACCGUGAGUUUGAAUUUGGGGAUUGGCAGCACCAAAGUGUAUAGGUUCCUGUGACUGAUGAUAUGGCAUUGGCAUUGAAAUUACAGCUAGAGGAAUGACAGAAGGAUUAUGCAUUAGGUUUGUUGGGGGUAAAGGGUUGAUGUGCAUGAGAACAAUACUUGAUCAAAGCAUGAAGAACAUUAUGAUCAUUAAGUCUAUCAGGGCUCAUGGAGUCAACAUCACGGAUUGAAAAAAAAAGUGGGAUGACAUAUGAAUGAAGAAGGAGUGGGAUUAGGUUUUAGGAUUAGAAAGUUGACUUCGGUCAAUUGAUUGGUCAAAAAGUCAACAGUUGACCAGAGUCAACUAUAUGUAAAAAAACUGUUUUCUUGUAUGCAUUUUCAUGAUUUGGAUUUUGUAACAUGGUUUGGUGUAAUGUAAAUGGCCUUUU